ACUGGCCACUCAGAUUAGAAGCAGUUUUUGCUCGCAGUUAUAUCCCAGUUGUCGCUGGAGGGAUGUUUAAGACAAAUAAGAGUCCGGGUCCACAAGAUGCGACCAUUUCCUUUUUGAGGAGGCGGCUAUGCGCCAGCGAAUCACCAGAAGGGCCCGGCUGACAUUUUUAUUAUUAUGGAUGUGCCCACGCAGAUGAGAGGAGGGGAGAAGGCCACCCUAGAGUUCUCUGCACGUCGAAACAAGAGGAAGGAAGAAAAAAAUUCAAGUGGAAUUCACUCAGUAAUUGACUUUAUCCUUUUUGUUAUUGAAUUUAAACUGUAGCCAAUAUUUUCACAUGAUUUUAUAUUCAAUAAAUUCAAUUACAUCACCACGCAUGGUUUGAAAUUGUCUGUUUUGUUGCCAUUAAACUCUCUUUUUUUAAAAUCAAUUUCGUGUUUUUUAAUUUCCAAUUUACUUAUCAGAAAUGUAUAAAUGAUAUCAUAAAAUAGUAAAAUUGCUUAUUUUAACCGAUUUUCUUGUGUUUGAUUUUGUCACCAUGUUCAAUGCCCGUAAUAUGUCUAAAGUAAAACUGAAAAUUGUGCUUUAAUUAUAUUUCAAUUCUUUUAUUUACUUCUUCGAACUGGAGCAGCAUGGAAUGUAUGACAUAGAAAAAAAAUGAUAAUGAUGUUUGUUUCUUUUUGUCUUCAAUAAAGAAACUGCUAACGUGUGUC